GUAGGUGGCAAGCGUUGUCCGGAAUUAUUGGGCGUAAAGCGCGCGCAGGCGGUCCUUUAAGUCUGAUGUGAAAGCCCACGGCUCAACCGUGGAGGGUCAUUGGAAACUGGGGGACUUGAGUACAGAAGAGGAAAGCGGAAUUCCACGUGUAGCGGUGAAAUGCGUAGAGAUGUGGAGGAACACCAGUGGCGAAGGCGGCUUUCUGGUCUGUAACUGACGCUGAGGCGCGAAAGCGCGGGGAGCAAACAGGAUUAGAUACCCUGGUAGUCCACGCCGUAAACGAUGAGUGCUAAGUGUUAGGGGGUUUCCGCCCCCCUUAGUGCUGCAGCUAACGCAUUAAGCACUCCGCCUGGGAGUACGGCCGCAAGGCUG
rnacentral:rRNA from 1 species